UACGUAGGGUGCAAGCGUUGUCCGGAAUUAUUAGGCGUAAAGAGCUCGUAGGCGGUUUGUCGCGUCUGCUGUGAAAACUCGGGGCUUAACCCCGGGCCUGCAGUGGGUACGGGCAGACUAGAGUGCGGUAGGGGAGACUGGAAUUCCUGGUGUAGCGGUGAAAUGCGCAGAUAUCAGGAGGAACACCGGUGGCGAAGGCGGUUCUCUGGGCAUUACCUGACGCUGAGGAGCGAAAGUGUGGGGAGCGAACAGG
rnacentral:rRNA from 1 species